rnacentral:rRNA from 1 species
CCUACGGGAGGCAGCAGUGAGGAAUAUUGGUCAAUGGACGCAAGUCUGAACCAGCCAUGCCGCGUGCAGGAAGACGGCCCUAUGAGUUGUAAACUGCUUUUGUACGAGGGUAAACGCAGAUACGCGUAUCUGUCUGAAAGUAUCGUACGAAUAAGGAUCGGCUAACUCCGUGCCAGCAGCCGCGGUAAUACGGAGGAUUCAAGCGUUAUCCGGAUUUAUUGGGGUUAAGGGGUGCGUAGGCGGUCGGAUAAGUUAGAGGUGAAAACCCGGGGCUCAACUUCGGAAUUGCCUCUGAUACUGUUCGGCUAGAGAGUAGUUGCGGUAGGCGGAAUGUAUGGUGUAGCGGUGAAAUGCGUAGAGAUCAUACAGAACACCGAUUGCGAAGGCAGCUUACCAAGCUACUUCUGACGUUGAGGCACGAAAGCGUGGGGAGCAAACAGGAUUAGAUACCCCUGUAGUC